AGGAAAAGAAACUAACAAGGAUUCCCCUAGUAACUGCGAGUGAAGCGGGAAAAGCUCAAAUUUAAAAUCUGGCAUGCCUUUGGCUGUCCGAGUUGUAGUCUGGAGAAGUGUUUUCCGUGCUGGACCAUGUACAAGUCCCUUGGAAUAGGGCGUCAUAGAGGGUGAGAAUCCCGUCUUUGACAUGGACUACCAGUACUUUGUGAUGCGCUCUCAAAGAGUCGAGUUGUUUGGGAAUGCAGCUCAAAAUGGGUGGUAAAUUCCAUCUAAAGCUAAAUAUAGGCGAGAGACCGAUAGCGAACAAGUACCGUGAGGGAAAGAUGAAAAGCACUUUGGAAAGAGAGUUAAACAGUACGUGAAAUUGCUGAAAGGGAAACGCUUGAAGUCAGUCGUGUCUACCAGGACUCAGCCUUGCUUUUUUGCUUGGUGCACUUUCUGGUGUGACAGGCCAGCAUCGAUUUUGACUGUUGGAAAAAGAUUGAGGGAAUGUGGCACCUUUGGGUGUGUUAUAGCCCUUUAUUGUAUACAACAAUUGGAAUCGAGGAUUGCAGCAUGCCUUUAUGGCCGGGGCUUUUGCCUACGUACGUGCUUAGGAUGCUGGCAUAAUGGCUUUAAGCGACCCG
rnacentral:rRNA from 1 species